UGUGCCGCUCCAGGAAGAGUCCCCCGCCGUAUCCCAGGCCCUGGCUCCCCUUACCCAGUCAGCCCUGCCCACAGGGACCUGGGCAUCCUGGCCUGGCACUCACAGAACACAUUGAACCUGACAGUUCUCUUCAGCACCCCCCAGCUCCAGGGAAGGACACAUAACAGGAUGAGGAGCAGAGGAUCCCACCCCAGUCCUCCACGGGGGACCUCGGGUCCCCCCAGAUGACCUCCUUCCUUCCCCAUCACAAGCACAGAGAGAUGGUUCUCUUUGUAACUGUACUUCACAGUGUACCCCUUCUCCACCUGAAGAGGUAUGAACCACCCUGGCUCCUCUGUGUGUCCCCAGUGUCCCUGCUGCUCUGCAGGUCCUGAGUGGGUGGGAUCUUCCCUGGGUCUCCUCCUAUGCUCGGCCCACUGCGUUGUUCGUGGCUCCUGGAGAGUCCUGGUUUGUACCAGCCCCUGCACAAAACCAGUAGCCAGUGACAGAGGUCCUCCUUGAAGAUGCCAGGCUAGGAGACCUGCAGGGCAUGGGGACAGAGACCCCCCUGCACGUCCCCCACUCUCGCACCUCCAGCAGGUAUCUGGGACCCUGAGCCAGGGAUCCUUUGGAGAAAAGAGGGUGUUGGCUGUGCAGCCCCCACAGAUUCUCUCCCUGCACCCCCCACUGGCCCCCAGCAGGGGCAGCAGGGUGGAGGUGGAGGUCCCGGGCUCUGCGAGUGGGCACAGAAGGGAGGGCGAGUGGAGGGGAAGCACACAGCAAGCCCAGGAAAGAGGUCAGACAGCCAACGACCGCAGAAGAGGAACCUCAGGACACCUGUCGAGGCCCCUGGAGCAGCCGCAUCUACUAUCCAGGUGGGGUCUCCACGGGGGCCACACCCAGCAAGGAGGACAGACCCGGAGCUCCUGGCCCCUGGUGGGCAGCCUCUCCUCCCCCGCCACUGUCCACGUCAGGAGGUGUCCCUGCGGUGACCAUUCAGAGCCUGCCUGUGUAGUCAGGGUGGGGGAAGCCCUGGUUCUGGUGGCCCUGGGCCGUCCCCUUCAAGUCGGCUUCCUUGACUCCCACGGAGGGGUCACCACUCCCGACCUGAGGAAGGCGUGUGUCUGAGGGAGAAUUCAGUGGGAGGAUGGAGGCCAACUGCGCUCUGAAGACUCAGGGUUGGCUCUCCUGCCGUGUCCCAAGGCAGACCCCAAGAGGACACAAGUCACACUCCACCCUUUGAUUCUCUGUCUCAGUCAUGUUCUUAUCCUGUCUGCUCUGGGGUCUCGGGA